GACGAACGCUGGCGGCGUGCUUAACACAUGCAAGUCGAACGGAAAGGCCCUGCUUUUGUGGGGUGCUCGAGUGGCGAACGGGUGAGUAACACGUGAGUAACCUGCCCUUGACUUUGGGAUAACUUCAGGAAACUGGGGCUAAUACCGGAUAGGAGCUCCUGCUGAAUGGUGGGGGUUGGAAAGUUUCGGCGGUUGGGGAUGGACUCGCGGCUUAUCAGCUUGUUGGUGGGGUAGUGGCUUACCAAGGCUUUGACGGGUAGCCGGCCUGAGAGGGUGACCGGCCACAUUGGGACUGAGAUACGACCCAGACUCCUACCGGAGGCAGCAGUGCCGAAUAUUCCACAAUGGGCGGAAGCCUGAUGCAGCAACGCCGCGUGCGGGAUGACGGCCUUCGGGUUGUAAACCGCUUUCGCCUGUGACGAAGCGUGAGUGACGGUAAUGGGUAAAGAAGCACCGGCUAACUACGUG
rnacentral:rRNA from 1 species